rnacentral:tRNA from 1 species
AGUGGGUUGGCUCAGUGGUUAGAGCUUACGUCUCGUAACCGAAGGGUCGCGAUCGAAUCCCGUUAGAGGCUG